CAGUAGCCACGGGAAUACGUAGGUGGCAAGCGUUGUCCGGAAUUAUUGGGCGUAAAGGGCUCGCAGGCGGUUUCUUAAGUCUGAUGUGAAAGCCCCCGGCUCAACCGGGGAGGGUCAUUGGAAACUGGGAAACUUGAGUGCAGAAGAGGAGAGUGGAAUUCCACGUGUAGCGGUGAAAUGCGUAGAGAUGUGGAGGAACACCAGUGGCGAAGGCGACUCUCUGGUCUGUAACUGACGCUGAGGAGCGAAAGCGUGGGGAGCGAACAGGAUUAGAGACCCCGGUAGUCCCUGUCUCUUAUAC
rnacentral:rRNA from 1 species